rnacentral:pre_miRNA from 1 species
GAACUUGAGGAAACAUUUCUGCACAAACUAGAAAAUGGAUAUCUGUGUGCAGAGUGCUUCUGCUAUAUU